rnacentral:rRNA from 1 species
UGCGUAGGCGGAAUAGUCAGUCAGUGGUGAAAUCCUACAGCUUAACUGUAGAACUGCCAUUGAUACUGCUAUUCUUGAGUUCAGUUGAGGUAGGCGGAAUGUGUAGUGUAGCGGUGAAAUGCUUAGAUAUUACACAGAACACCGAUUGCGAAGGCAGCUUACUAAACUGACACUGACGCUGAGGCACGAAAGCGUGGGGAGCGAACAGGAUUAGAUACCCUGGUAGUCC